GACGAACGCUGGCGGCGUGCUUAACACAUGCAAGUCGAACGGAAAGGCCCUGCUUUUGUGGGGUGCUCGAUUGGCGAACGGGUGAGUAACACGUGAGUAACCUGCCCUUGACUUUGGGAUAACUUCAGGAAACUGGGGCUAAUACCGGAUAGGAGCUCCUGCUGCAUGGUGGGGGUUGGAAAGUUUCGGCGGUGGGGGAUGGACUAGCGGCUUAUCAGCUAGUUGGUGGGGUAGUGGCUUACCAAGGCUUUGACGGGUAGCCUGCCUGAGAGGGUGGACGGCGACAUUGGGACUGAGAGACGGAGCAGAAUCCUACGGGCGGCAGCAGGGGGGAAUAUGGCAGAGUGGGGGGAAGCGUGAUGCAGCGACGCCGCGAGCGGGAUGACGGCCUUCGAGUUAUAAACAGAUUUCGCAUGUGACGAAGCGUGAGUGACGGUAAUGGGUAAAGAAGCACCGGCUAACUACGUG
rnacentral:rRNA from 1 species